rnacentral:lncRNA from 1 species
UUUCUCUUAAUGCCAUACUAGAAGCUCCGUCAGGAAAUGGACAUAGAUAUCUCUUGAAUUCUAAAAAAAAAAUGAGAGAUGGUCACAACAAAAAGGUAACUGCAAUUUAAAAUCUGUCAGUGGCUUGGAAAUAGCCUUACUAUUCUUAGAAAUUGAGAAGGCUGAAAUUGUCCUCGAAUUUUUCAGUGGAAUAUGUUGCAGUUUGCCUGUAGAUGACCUUUCCUCCUCGGGAGGAAUUUCAACUUCCGAGAGAUAGCAUCACUAUAUAUUGUACCUGAUAGGAAUCCUGGCCUUAAUUUGAUUUCAGGUGGUGGUAAUGAAGUAUCAUAUGACAUCAGAAAACUGCUUUGAACAGGUUUGGGUCUUUUGCCAUCUAUCAUAUGCAAUAAUUUGAAUAAGGAUUGAAGCGAUUUCAUCUUUAUGGAGGCAAUUAGUUGGGCCUUUGACAUCUCCAUAUGUGUUCAGACUUAGAGUGGCUGUGCCACUGGGAAAUUUAAGCAAUGGAAAUAUGGAUUAUAUUUAGGUCAAAAGCAGUGGGAAAAAAGAGAAGAGAGAGAGAGAGAUCUCUGAGAGAGAGACCUGUCUCAUUUGUUCAAUUUGCAAUGGAUAAAGAUCUUCAUUCUUGCAGAUGACUGAGGAUAUAAUGGCAUAAUGCAAUAUAAUGAUACCUGACUAUCAAAAUGCCACCUAAGGGGCUGCUUUUGUUAUUGCCCCUACCAACCACCAAGUGGACCACUCCCAGGAGAGGAUAUCUUUCAAGUCAACCAAACAGUGUACACAACAGAAAAUAUUAAUCUUCCAAUUUACAAGUCUUAUCAAACAACUCAUUGUAUUUCUUUUUAUAAGUUUACCACUAAAGACUCUUUGCUUGCAGGCAGACUCCAAUGAGAGACAAAUUAUAAUUAAAAAGGUUACACUGAAUUAGAGCUCAGUGGGUGACAAACUAGUAAAAUAUCAUCAGUAAUUAGAGAGAAUUUAAUGAAGCACUUACUAUGAGCAAAAGGGUCUCUGCCUUCCUAUGAGUAUAUUUCAGUGGAAGAGAUAGCCAAUGGUGAGAAAUGAAUAUAUAUGUAUAUUCAUAUAUACAUGUAUACACAUCUAUGCAUAUAUACAUAUACACAUUGUAUAUUUGCAUACACAUAUGUAUAUAUGUAUGUGUAUAUACACAUAUGUGCAUUCUAAUAGUGAAAGAAAACUAAGGUAGAAACAGAACAAGGAGAAGAGUGAUUAGAGGUAGUGUUGAUUAUUUCCAUUUCAAACAGGGUAGUGGGGAGAUGUUAACACUUGAGUUGACACCAGAGGAAGUAGAGUAGAGACGGGCCCUGUGAACUUCUCAGAAGGUAGAAUCCUGAGUGGUAGUAACAGUGAGUUUGACAGAUCUUAGGGAACAGGGAUAAGUCAAUAUAUGGCUAGAGAGAAUGAACGUGAGGGAAUGCAGGGGAAGUCAGGUUGAGCUAUACUCUGGAUCAUGGGAGGCCCUUGCAGGGCAUGUGGAUCUAGUAUUAUGGAAUGGCCUAUUUACUUCCUAGCUUAUUUACUUCCCGAGUUCUCAUUUACUGCCGUGAGAGACAUGGAUGGAAGGAAACCAGUGGGAUUAGGCUAUUGCAGACUUGUGUAAGAGCUGCCCGCAGACACAGCUGAAGUAGAUAUGUUGAAAAAGAGGGGACACAUUUUAGGUGUAGCUGCAUACAACUUGCAAAUGAAUCAGUUGAUGCUUUCAGGAUUUUGUGACUUUCCCAUGACAACAUUCUUUCAUGCAAGAUGCUUAUUUCUUCCUCAUGUUAUUACCUACUUUUCAAUUUAAUCUGAAGAUAUUUUUACUUCUUCCCCUCCCCUUUAUCUUAACUCAUGGCUGUGAUUAAAGUUGUUCCCUGGUCUAAUAUGUCUAAUAAAGCACACACUGAGAAAACAUCUUGCAGCCUCUCUCUCCUUCAACAAAAUCCCACCAGCCCUAUAAGCACAUGCUCGCCAUGAAGCCUGGCUUUUCCAUUCAUAGAGCCUGUGUAACACGUUAUGUGUGAACGAACAGUUUGCUUGGGAGCUCUUGCUUCACACAGUAAUAAGUAGAACUGAGUUAAGUUCCAUUCUCUUCUCAGAGUGGGUGGUUCCAUGGGUGAGUGGGAAUCUCUGCAUCAUACAAUGUAAUUGAUUUUCUGGUUGAAAUCUUAAAGGGUAAUUUAAUCCCCUUUACUUACAAGUUCGAGAGUUUAAUUUGUAGUUCAUCCGUCCAUCAUAGAAAUAAUUAUGACUAAUCAGUAUUUUCAAGUGUGCAUAAUGACUGUCAUUUAUAUUUGGGUGUAGGGACAAACUGGUGAAGUCAACAUAAUUGUGGAAAGUUAGACUACAGCCUUCACCAUGCGUUAUUCUAAUAAAAAUCCUUUGAAUCUGGAGAGGGAAG